GACGAACGCUGGCGGCGCGCUUAAUACAUGCAAGUCGAACGAGAAGCCAGAGCUUGCUCUGGUGGAAAGUGGCGAACGGGCGAGUAACACGUGAGAAACCUGCCCAAAGAUUGGGAUAAGCCUUGGAAACGAGGUCUAAUACCAAAUACCUUCCUUUUAACACAAUGUUAAAAAGAAGAAAUGCUCCGGCGCUUUGGGAUGGUCUACGCGAUCUAUCAGCUUGUUGGUGAGGUAACGGCUCACCAAGGCUAUCGACGGAUAGCUGGUCUGAGAGGAUGUCCAGCCACAUUGGAACUGAGACACGGUCCAAACUCCUACGGGAGGCAGCAGUAGGGAAUCUUGCACAAUGAGGGAACCUUGAUGCAGCGACGCCGCGUGCGGGACGAAGGCCCCUAAGGGGUUUGUAAACCCGGCUUUUCCAGUAGGGACGAAAGUGACGGUACCUACAGAAGAAG
rnacentral:rRNA from 1 species